rnacentral:rRNA from 1 species
AACUACAAAGGAAUUGACGGGGGAGCACCACAACGGGUGGAGCUUGCGGUUUAAUUGGAUUCAACGCCGGAAAUCUUACCGGGACCGACAGCAAUAUGAAGGCCAGGCUGAAGACUUUGCCGGAUUAGCUGAGAGGUGGUGCAUGGCCGUCGUCAGUUCGUACUGUGAAGCAUCCUGUUAAGUCAGGCAACGAGCGAGACCCACGCCCACAGUUGCCAGCGUACUCUCUGGAGUGACGGGUACACUGUGGGGACCGCCGCUGCUAAAGCGGAGGAAGGAAUGGGCAACGGUAGGUCAGUAUGCCCCGAAUAUCCCGGGCUACACGCGAGCUACAAUGGUUGGUACAAUGGGUAUCUACCCCGAAAGGGGACGGGAAUCUCCUAAAACCAAUCUUAGUUCGGAUUGAGGGCUGCAACUCGCCCUCAUGAAGCUGGAAUCCGUAGUAAUCGCGUUUCAACAGAACGCGGUGAAUACGUCCCUGCUCCUU